GAUGAACGCUGGCGGCGUGCCUAAUACAUGCAAGUCGAGCGAACAGACGAGGAGCUUGCUCCCCUGACGUUAGCGGCGGACGGGUGAGUAACACGUGGAUAACCUACCUAUAAGACUGGGAUAAUUUCGGGAAACCGGAGCUAAUACUGGAUAAUAUAUUGAACCGCAUGGUUCAAUAGUGAAAGACGGUUUUGCUGUCUCUUAUAGAUGGAUCCGCGCUGCAUUAGCUAGUUGGUAAGGUAACGGCUUACCAAGGCAACGAUGCGUAGCCGACCUGAGAGGGUGAUCGGCCACACUGGAACUGAGACACGGUCCAGACUCCUACGGGAGGCAGCAGUAGGGAAUCUUCCGCAAUGGGCGAAAGCCUGACGGAGCAACGCCGCGUGAGUGAUGAAGGUCUUCGGAUCGUAAAACUCUGUUAUUAGGGAAGAACAAAUGUGUAAGUAACUAUGCACGUCUUGACGGUACCUAAUCAGAAAGCCAUGGCUAACUACGUG
rnacentral:rRNA from 1 species